rnacentral:rRNA from 1 species
GACGAACGCUGGCGGCACGCUUAACACAUGCAAGUCGAACGAAGAUGUUUCACCGUAGCUUGCUACACCGAGACAUUUUAGUGGCGGACGGGUGAGUAACACGUGAGCAAUCUGCCUUUCAGAGGGGGAUACCAGUUGGAAACGACUGUUAAUACCGCAUAACAUAUCGAGAUCGCAUGAUAUUGAUAUCAAAGAUUUAUCGCUGAAAGAUGAGCUCGCGUCUGAUUAGAUAGUUGGUGAGGUAACGGCUCACCAAGUCGACGAUCAGUAGCCGGACUGAGAGGUUGGACGGCCACAUUGGGACUGAGACACGGCCCAGACUCCUACGGGAGGCAGCAGUGGGGGAUAUUGCACAAUGGAGGAAACUCUGAUGCAGCAACGCCGCGUGAGGGAAGAAGGUUUUCGGAUUGUAAACCUCUGUUUUUAGUGUAAGAACAAAUGACGGUAGCUAAAGAGGAAG